AUCCCCCCCCCCCCCCCCUCCUUUAAGAAAGGGACACUAAGCGUGGCUUCAUUGUUUGUUGAUGGUGGGUUUAAAGGAUGCUCUUCGAUUAGAGUCCUUCGAGGUACCAGAAUUUGAGAUCCGGGCUACCAAGACCUAGGAGGGGAAACCACAUCUCGGCUUGGUGAAUGAAAAUCUGUACUAGAUUCGUGACCCUGUUGCUGCUGAGGGUCAAGGGGGCUUGGGCUCGGUACCACCGGAGCAGACAAUUAACGUUUCUCCUAUUAGGAGCGCUUCGGUGGUGACUGGUGACAAGGGGAAAAGCUUCGGGGUCAGGUGAUGUUCGGGAAUCGGAAGAGGGUGGUUCCGCUGGGAAGGUGAUAUUGUAUGGAUCCGAACACCUUUCUAUCGAAGACGAGGGUCCAGUGAAUGAAGCUGAAGUGGUUUUGCGACCAAAGGAGACCCUGAAACACCGCCGCAAGCAGGCGUCUAAGUCAGACUCGAAUCCACAGCAGACCAAAAGGUCUAAGUCUGUGUCUGCGUCUCAUCAAGCGGUUAUAAUGGAAGAUGAUCUGGAUCAAACUCCUACUCACAUGUAGGUUGUUGCUUCCAUGUCAAAGUUAUUGCCAAAUGAUUUGGCAAUGGCCUUUUAAAGCUUGAAUAAAAGCAACAAAGAUGUAUAGACACGCAUCAGCUACAGGAGGGUUUUGGAGGCUAGCAAACCUCUCGCAUGUUCAUUUGGCGGCAGGGUUGAAUAGUCUAUGAGGGUGGUUGUCUCUUGGAGUUUCGCUCACACCUUAUGUCCAAUCUAUAAAAAGCUAUCGUCAAAUGAUUUGGUGGUAGAAUACAGCACAAGCUUUAAAAAGACAUCCCCUAGACGCCAAAUCUUGGCGACAGCUUUGACAUGGAAGCAACAAACGUCUUGGCUAAGGAGUGCAAUGAUUUGGAAUGAUGAAUAAGACCUCUCGCCAAUUAAGUUGGCAAGAACUAAGUUAGUACUGACAUUCUUCUGAUGCUUCCAUUACACACAUGAUCUUCAAAUUUCUAGCCAAAUGGAUUGGUGAUAAUCCGUUUUGUGACAACAAACUUAAAAUAGCCACCAAGUGAAGCCUUGGCCUAUAGUCCAUUUUUUGAUGAAAAAAUGAUAAGAUAGAUUUGAGAUUUCAAGAACUCCUUAUUUUGUGCAUCUUUUAUUCAAUAAAAUGCCCAGCACAUUUUAUUUUUGA